AUGGACCCAAUAGUCAACCAGGGGUGGACCUCAUCCGAGGUAGAGGAGGCAUGCUCACUCAUUGCUAGGCUCAACACCAACAAAAUCAUGUACGACGACAAUGAUGACAAGAACAAGAAGCAUAAUUACAUCAUGAAUUCUCUCCAUGCAUUGUUUCCUUCAAAGACCAUGAAAGAGGUAACAGAUCUUUAUGUUAAUCUCGCCGUGGAAAUGCAUAUGAUCCAACGGAGGGAGGGAACCCAUGUUACUAGUGGUAGCCCGCAAAACAUUUUCACCUUUUGUGACCCUGUCAACGGUAACUAUGAGCUACCGAAGGAGGAGAAUGGUGCUAGCAGCACACACGUUAUCUACACCAUGGGCGACCAUGCGAAUGAAAACUUCGGUGUACGAGACGAGGCAACAAUCAUGGACAACAAUGGAUUGUCCUUUGGUUGUGUAAUGGAGGAUACGGGGAUCACGGUGAUGGGUGAGGCACCGCUGAUGGCAGACACCAACAAGAUGGAGGUGUUGGAGAACAAUAUUUCCAUAGAUCAACCAGUUGUUGCCCCACAUCAAUGUGGUUUUUGGAUCGACGAGGAACACAGCAUGGGCGGCCUUGUUAAUGAAAACUUUGAGGUACAAGAGGACGAGGAUAGACCAUGA
rnacentral:rRNA from 1 species